UCCGGCUUAUCACCGGCAGUCCCCUUAGAGUGCCCAACCCAAUGAUGGCAACUAAGGGCGAGGGUUGCGCUCGUUGCGGGACUUAACCCAACAUCUCACGACACGAGCUGACGACAGCCAUGCAGCACCUGGACAUCCAGUUCUCUUGCGAGCACAUCCACAUCUCUGCGGACUUCUGGAGGGUUCCAACCCAGGUAAGGUUCUUCGCGUUGCGUCGAAUUGAACCACAUGCUCCACCGCUUGUGCGGGCCCCCGUCAAUUCAUUUGAGUUUUAACCUUGCGGCCGUACUCCCCAGGCGGUCAACUUAAUGCGUUAGCUGCGCCACUAAGAGCUCAAGGCUCCCAACGGCUAGUUGACAUCGUUUACGGCGUGGACUAC
rnacentral:misc_RNA from 1 species